rnacentral:rRNA from 1 species
AUGUUUGAUGUUCUAACGUGGGCCCCUAAUCGGGGUUGCGGACAGUGUCUGGUGGGUAGUUUGACUGGGGCGGUCUCCUCCUAAAGAGUAACGGAGGAGCACGAAGGUUGGCUAAGUACGGUCGGACAUCGUACGGUUAGUGCAAAGGCAGAAGCCAGCUUAACUGCGAGACAGACACGUCGAGCAGGUACGAAAGUAGGUCUUAGUGAUCCGGUGG